rnacentral:rRNA from 1 species
GCGACCCCAGGUCAAGCGGGACCACCCGCUGAGUUUAAGCAUAUCAAUAA